rnacentral:lncRNA from 1 species
ACAGAUCGAUCUACAACACAUACGCAUUGCAAUUAUGAGAAAUCCAUCAAUAUGCAGAUGAAGCCUUAAGAAUUAUUUAAGUCAUUGUAAUUAUAUAUAUCAUGGUGAGGGCCCUUCCGCUGGUAAGGAAAACUUAGAUAUUUUGCGUAUUAUAUAUUUUUGAUUGAUGUAACAUUUGUUUUCCCCUGACAAAAAGUAAUGUUUGUUUCAUGUUCUUAUUCAGUAAAAAUGUGCACAGCACAAUCUCAAAUUUUAUGCAAAAGCUCAGAUGGCAAUAGUUCCUACACUCAUGUUAUCCAAUAUAAACUGUUGAAUGAUUGAUACAAUUUGAAGGUGAGAUACAAGAACAUCAUAACAUUGAUAUUCUCGUCGUAUGUAUAUGACUACUAUAUAUUCCCGAAACCUCACCUCUAAACUGAGUUUAGUGCAGUUUUUUUAUUUUUUGAAAUACAGGUACUUCUCAAUUUUUGUACUAAUUUUCUAUUUUGGGGAAAGCCACAUAUGUUUCCAACAAUAGAAUGAUGUGUGAUGGUCAUCACACAAACUCCUGGCCAGGUGCCUUUCACAUCUUAUCUUGUUUGUAAUAUAUAUAUUCUCCUUAAAUUGUUAACACAAUGAGCAUAUAGAUGUAGCUGGUUCAUCAACGUAAACAUCAAAAGUAUUCCUCUUAUGCAGUCUGCUUCCCUGACAUGCAGGGCACACUAAGGUGGUGGGAAGAUACAUACAACCGUUAACUUGACGGCUAAGCGAUCAGAUGCGGCGAUUGUGUGAGUGUGUCAGGUACGUCGAAUUCACUUAUCCCAAACUAUUGGAAGUUACUAGGAUCUCCUCUUCUCUGUAAUACUUAUGGCCUUCUCCUCUACCUAUUGGGGCAACAGUUUGGAUAUCCAGCAACCAUGGUGACAAAUACGUGCAUACUGGAACUGUUCCAAGUUUCCAUUUUCUCAGUAAACAAGUGAACUAAGAAAGUGAAUCCUAUUUAAUAAAUGUAGGCAUAUACUAAUACGGUGGCACAACUUAGUCUGCAUGAAUGUUCUGGUCUUCUAAAUUUUUAGUAUAAUGUUGAGUACUUUAGUUGGAGUCCAUGCUAGUUUAGCUAGCCAAGUUGAGUCUAAUAAGGCUAGGUCGAUUAGUUAGUUUUCCACCAUUGCAAGUCGUAAGCAUGUGUGCUCAUGGAUGGGUCGUAGUCUGUAGAUGAUUCAAUGAUUUUGCAUAGGUAGCAGCGUACGUGAUGUACUAGUAUGCCUUGGAGUUGGUGUGCCUUACUAGUCUAGGAAAAGGGCGCUCGAGUCCAAGUCGUUUUAGAUGCAAAGUCAGAGUAGGUUUAGGUUGUUCCGGCCAUGUAGCAGGUCAUAGUUGUGGAAGCAGGUCGUAUAAGAGUUUUUCCAUAGAAAACAAGGUCAUGUAAGAGCUUUCAGACAAGAAUAAAGAGUACGCUAAAGUUUCUUUCAUGCGCAUGUGUUUGGCUAUUUUGAUGUGAUAGAUUCUGUGGACAAAACAGAACAUAGAUUACUAAUCCAUAUGCCAAAUCAGCAGGUUACAGAAACUUGAUUGUUCCAAGUCAAUGUUGUUGGCACUAAAACCUAAAAGACUACUGGUGCCAAGCUGGAUUUGCUAGGAGGUAUUUUCUGAUAUUACUUCUAUAUUGCCUGAAUGAUUCUUCACCAAUUCGAAUGGAAAUUUUGGAUUAUUAAUAGCAUUACUUGAAUAUAUUUUUAUUAUCACACAUGCUUCUGUUCUUUUACCUAAUUCGUACAAGAGAACACUUUUCUUCCAUGUUACAAUGGUCAUACACUCAUACUGCGUCUCUAAGAUAAGACUCUUUGCCGCUAGAUUAGGUAAAAUAAUUCAUCAACUCCUGUAUGCCUUCCUUACAUUCCCUCACUUCCUAUAUAACACUCUGUUUCUAUAAACAUGGUGAAACUUGAUAAUGGAAUGAGCUGAGUUACUUUACUGUAAACUAAAAUGACUACGUUCGGCUACAAAAGUGAUACUUGACAAGUUCAAACAAGAGCGCUGCUCUUACUACAACCCAACGUAUCAACCAAGAAUAUAAAGGUAAAAUUGACGGUGUUAAACUUGGUAAUGAAUUCCUUAUAUUCCGAAUUGAUCUUACAUUAGCAAAAUCUGGUAAGUUUAUACAACUAAUAAAAAGUCAAAAUUACUGGCGAUAUAGCUAGAUUAAUUAUCACAUGGCCUUCAACCUUUCUAUGUUGCUCCUCUUUUUCAAUUUUACUGCCCUAUUAACCUAUCUCAUUUCUUUGUGUAGAUUGCAAGAUAAAUCGGUGAUGCAUCGUCAGAUGUUGAUUGCAAGGUCAAGAACAUGGGUGCAACUAGAUAGUUUCACAUUGUGUUUCAGAAUGUCAUUUUCAUUGUCGAUGUGUCAAUCAUUAUGAUUCAGGCAUUUUCGGUGUCAAUGUUUAGAUCAUUAUGUUUCAAAAUGGCUGAGACGUUGGUUGCAAGAUCAAGAAUAGGACCAGUACUAGUUUCACAUCUUGUAAUCUUUGUAUCCAGAUCCUUGUAAUGCAACCAAGUUGACUUAAUAUAUGAGACAGUUCUGUUUGUUAUACUGCGUGCCCUAUGCAUUAUUGGCAUU